CACGUAGUUAGCCGGGGCUUCUUAGUCAGGUACCGUCAUUUCUUUCUUCCCUGCUGAUAGAGCUUUACAUACCGAAAUACUUCUUCACUCACGCGGCGUCGCUGGAUCAGGGUUCCCCCCAUUGUCCAAUAUUCCCCACUGCUGCCUCCCGUAGGAGUUUGGGCCGUCGUCUCAGUCCCAAUGUGGCCGUUCACCCUCUCAGGCCGGCUACUGAUCGUCGCCUUGGUGGGCCGUUACCCCACCAACAAGCUAAUCAGACGCGGGUCCAUCUUACACCACCGGAGUUUUAACGGAAAAGCAUGCAUCUUCUCCUGUUAUGCGGUAUUAGCACCUAUUUCUAAGUGUUAUCCCCCAGUCGUAAGGCAGGUUCCCAACGCGUUACUCACCCGUCGCCACUAAGAUAGCAACAUCUCCGCUCUUAGUAAACUAAAUCGCUUCGAAAACUGAUAUCUCCGUUCGACUUGCAUGUGUUAAAGUCACGCCGCCACGCGUUUCAUCCUCGAGCACGGAAUCAAAACUC
rnacentral:rRNA from 1 species